rnacentral:rRNA from 1 species
CCUACGGGUGGCAGCAGUGAGGAAUAUUGGUCAAUGGCCGGAAGGCUGAACCAGCCAUGCCGCGUGAAGGUCAGUGCCCUAUGGGCGUUAAACUUCUUUUGUGCGGGAGCAAUAAUGGUCACGUGUGGCCAGACGAGAGUACCGUACGAAUAAGCAUCGGCUUACUCCGUGCCAGCAGCCGCGGUUAUACGGGGGAUGCAAGCGUUAUCCGGAUUUAUUGGGUGUAAAGGGUGCGUAGGCUGUGAGGUAAGUCAGCGGUGAAAUGCCCCGGCUCAACGGGGUGAAGUGCCAUUGAUACUGCCUUGCUGGAGUGCGGAUGCCGUGGGAGGAAUGUGUGGUGUAGCGGUGAAAUGCAUAGAUAUCACACAGAACACCGAUUGCGAAGGCAGCUCACGAAUCCGCGAUUGACGCUGAUGCACGAAAGCGUGGGUAUCAAACAGGAUUAGAUACCCUUGUAGUC